AUUGAACGCUGGCGGCAUGCCUUACACAUGCAAGUCGAACGGUAACGGGCCUUCGGGUGCCGACGAGUGGCGAACGGGUGAGUAAUGUAACGGAACGUACCUUUCAGUGGGGGAUAACGUAGCGAAAGUUACGCUAAUACCGCAUAUUCUGUGCGCAGGAAAGCAGGGGAUCGCAAGACCUUGUGCUGAUUGAGCGGCCGAUAUCAGAUUAGCUAGUUGGUGAGGUAAAGGCUCACCAAGGCGACGAUCUGUAGCGGGGCUGAGAGGAUGAUCCGCCACACUGGAACUGAGACACGGUCCAGACUCCUACGGGAGGCAGCAGUGGGGAAUUUUGGACAAUGGGGGCAACCCUGAUCCAGCCAUGCCGCGUGAGUGAAGAAGGCCUUCGGGUUGUAAAGCUCUUUCGGCCGGGAAGAAAUCGUAUCAGCUAAUACCUGGUGCGGAUGACGGUACCGGCAUAAGAAGCACCGGCUAACUACGUGCCAGCCGCCGCGGUAACAC
rnacentral:rRNA from 1 species